AAAUGCACCGCUUCGUUUAGCCAUAGUCACGUGACUUUGGUGUUUCGAAUCACAUUUCGGAGCAGUGUUUCGAAACAUCUACGCUUCGGGAUCUCGACACAGUGUCGAAACGUCAGUUUCGCCGCGGGAGCCAUCCCUAGUAAGAUAUAGUUUAAAUAAAAUGUCUGAGGUGGUUCAAAAUGGUGAACCCACCCCCAGACGUCCUGGAGUGGGACUUGGGGUUCUUGUGACAGACUCCUUCAACCCAGGAUGCGUCCUGCUGGGGAAAAGGAAAAGCACGGUUGGGAAAGGUAAAUACCAGUUACCAGGAGGUCACAUUGAAUUUGGAGAAACUUGGGAGGACUGCGCGCAGAGAGAGGUGAUGGAGGAAGCUGGUGUCCAUUUGAAAAACAUCUGCUUUGCAUAUGUCCUCAACUCCAUCAGACUGGAAGAAAACUACCAUUAUAUCACAAUCUUCAUGCAUGGAGAACUGGACAGGUCUUUAUCAGCUGAACCAGUCAAUUUGGAGCCAGAGAAAAAUGAAGGUAGUCUAUAUCUUUGUGUUGAGUGUAUUAUCGCCUGUCUAGUUUCAGCCCCAGGUGGUCCGCCUACAGGUCUCAACAACAGUGAAAAAAAUCUGUAGCGUAAUGGUCAUACGAUAUGGGCUUAAUGAAUCAGGGAAGGAUUUGCAAUGAUCCAGAAGACCCAGUCAGAGAGCGCAUGUGAGCUUCGCUUACCCAAGUCCCCAUUUAGGUUGGGCAUGGAGACGAUGGGAGGAGUUUCCACCUGAAGAGCAGCUUUUCUUACCGUUGGCAAAUCUGAGACAGCAGGGAUUUCAGCCAUUCGGGACAAGUUAAAGGGAUUUUUUGUAAUCAGGACAGUUUUAACACCUGUUUUAACACCUAAUUCAAGGUCAGGUGAACCAUGCCCCCCUUCAGGCAUAGAGAGAAACUGCAUUUCAAGCUUAUUUUGAAGAGAAUCUGAGGGUAUAUCAACAAUGUGUGCUGACUCUGUGUACAAAGAUACAUUAUAUUCAGAUUGAUUGUUUACCGUUAUUGCAGUUACUCGGCAUAUAGAUGAAUGGAUAUUGUAAUUACAGCUCCUCAAUGUUAAUGGUUUACCAUCCACAUGCAUACUGUAGUAAAGUUAUAUUAUAGUUAUGCAUAACAGUUUAUCAUUUAGUUUUUGCACACUGGUAAACUGACUGUGGAUUUGAAGACUUUUACACAUAAUUUGUCAAACAGCCUUGAACAUAAUUUUUUUAUAAUUCCUUUAAGAUUUUUUUGUAGUUCACAAGAAUAUUAUAUAUUAUAUUAGCCCCUUAGCAUUCCAGAAAAAGGCUAAAAAAUGCCUUAAAGGACACAAAUUGUACCUUCUGUGUUGAUUGUAUCUUAAAACAGUUUACAUUAUUCAAAUCACAAGAAUUUCAGCGUUCCAAAGAUAUGUGACAUGUUUAGCUUUUUGUUUUUGAGUUAUUGUAUUUGAUGAAGUUUUCUUUCAAAUAA